UCCGGCUUACACCGGCGGUCUCCUGUGAGUUCCCAUCUUUCAUGCUGGUAACACAGGACGAGGGUUGCGCUCGUUGGCGGACUUAACCGUACACCUCACGGCACGAGCUGACGACAGCCAUGCAACAAGUGUCUUCACGUCCUCCUUUUGGGAGGAAGGCCCUAUCUCUAGAGCUUUCGAUCGAUGUCAAACCUGGGUAAGGUUCUUCGGUUAGUAUCGAAUUAAUCCACAUGCUCCACCGCUUGUGCGGGUCCCCGUCAAUUCAUUUGAGUUUCAACCUUGCGGCCGUACUCCCCAGGCGGGAUACUUAGUGCGUUAGCUGCGGCACAAGGGGGGUCGAUACCCCUUACGCCUAGUAUCCAUCGUUUAGGGCGUGGACUAC
rnacentral:misc_RNA from 1 species